AAGGUUACAUAAUAAUUAGCUUAUUGAUUGUAAGAUCGUAUGAAUGGGUUGACGAGAGGAUAGCUGUUUCAGCUUUAUGUUGUAGAACUUAAUUUCUCAUUGAGAAAGAUGAGAUGUGUCCGGCAGGACGAGAAGACCCCGUGAAUCUUUUUACAUAAAAUCACGUUUUUUGUUCGUCGGGAUUUUAUGUUGGGCUGGGGCGGCUCUUGAAUAAUUAAACUUCUGUUGGUAUUUGAAGUUUUUAUGUGGAUUUAUUUGGUUGAUCUUUAGUAAAGAUUAUCAGAUUAAGUUACUCCGGGGAUAACAGCGUAAAUUGUUUUAGAGAGUUCUUAUCGGCGAAGGAGCUUGCGACCUCGAUGUUGGAUUAAGUUUUAUGUCGGGGGCAGUACCUCGUAUGUUUUUAGUCUGUUCGACUUUAGUAACUUACACGAUUUGAGUUCAGACCGGAUCUCACU
rnacentral:rRNA from 1 species